GUAGUUCUGGUCGUUUGAGAUUGUCUGUCUCUGGAGAUCGGUUGGGCUCCUGUCGUUUGGGAUCGGAAGAAACGAUCCCCUGUAGUUCAGUUUUCUCCUCUUGGGAGUAUUCUUGUAGAAUGUAUCAAAGUUCUUCUUUGAUCGUCCGGUGGCCGGCGGCCGCCGCCGACAGGACGUACGUACACAAAUAUCUUUACUCGCACACAUACUCAGCAUACGCUGACAUGACACAAUUUUGUUUGAGUCCAUUCUAAAAAUCACAAAGGCAAGUAAUAUUCAAGGUUGAAAUUCAAAGUUCUCUCACUCGAGCUGGGUUCGACUUGGCGUGGCUCUAGUUCGGUACUGUCAGGACCGGAAACCGCGGCGGCGAUGGACCGGCCUCCGGCAGCAGGUCACGGAGGAGAAGCAGGAGCGGCGCCCAUACGAGCACCGGGAGGUGAGGGAGGGAGCAGCUCAACGGGUAGCAGAGGCGGCGCCGCGGUCGCCGAGGAGCCGGCGAGUUAGCGCGGCCGUGAAGCGCGACCCACGGGUCGAGGAGCGGGCGCGCGCUCGUCGACGACGCUUCGGGGGCCCGGGCGAGCGGGCGCGCCGGGAGCGGCUCCGGCUGGCGCGGUAGCGCGAGCUGGGGGCGCUGCGUCGCGGCGACUAGGAGUUCCGGGAGCGGGAGCUGGAGGUCCCAGUGGCGGAGGGGCGCGACGCGUGGGAGCUGCAGCGGAACCGCGGCGGCGAGCGCGCUAGGGACCUUGGCGCCCUCGCGCCCCUGCGCGAGCGGUUCGCGCGGCUCUAGCGCGAUCGCGAAUUGGCGGCGGCGGCGGAGCUGGUCCGGCGGCGCCUAGAGUGGCUCCGGCACGCGGAAUCGGGGCUCUUGGGGGCGCGAGUACGAGACGAACCGCUCACGAUGCUCUCCUUCCCGGAGUGACGGCUUCGGUCCUUGAGGAAGUUCUGGCGGCGCAGUUAGCUGGGUAGAGACCGAUGACGCGUGCUGCCGGAGGCAGCCUGUCCGCGUCCGUCGCUUCAGUUGCUCUCACUGACUACUGAGCAAAAAUAUAACAAUAUAUAAACCCCCACCUUGCUUGCUAGGGGAAGUUCUGAUUUAUACCAUGUAAUUCCGAAAGAAAAGGACGAUCUCGAGUCUACCGCUUAGAAACAGUACAUCUGUACAUGUCUCCUGAUCUUGUUAGUAUAGUCAGUACUAUAUUAAACAUCACGUGUAUCCCCUUAAAUAACUCACACCACAAAGACGUUAUGUCCAUGUGUUAGGUAGAGGUGUCGGUAUCCCGUUGUUUCAAUUAGUCAAUUAACAUAGAAACUAAGAGCGUAAGAUGAGAACCUACGGAAAUAAUCGUAAACAAAGUGUUUAUUACCUAAAUAAAGAAAAGAGUAGUAGGAAAAAAACCUUUUUUUUGAACAUUCCCCUGGGGUUUGGAUAUCUAUCUUUGGAUUUUAAACGGACAAGUAGGAAUAAACAGUGACAACGUUCCCACUAGACAGUCCUGGGAUGACUUGGUCAUAGAUAUAGUAUAUUCCUUCUAUGGCUAAGUCAAUAGACUGCCAUCUUGAUGAAGCUCGUGGUCUACCUACUUACCGAAACUAGGUAAAAUGAAUCAGCGUAAAUGAAGUCAACUAUGACAAAAUGAGACUUGAAAGUGAUCAGUAACAAAUAGAAGGAGUGGUAACAUUCGGUCCGACCGAUAUACAUAAGACAAACUACGAACUUACUCAUCAUUCUUUCCUCCAUUUGAUUAAAGAGAUCACAUGGCAUCGAUCUAAAACGAGGAGGAAGUCCGUUCUAAGGAGCAAGUUAGGGAAUUAGCCCCUGCUUGGAUAGGUUUUAAGGGGUGAACGCAGAGUCAGGAAUGUACUGAGGGAGACUAGGAUGAGUGUAAAGACAACUGUACUAGGGUAAAAUAGGAUACUUCCUCUUUUGGCCACGUACUUAGUACGUAAAAUAAAUUGGAACUGGUAUGUCUUCCAGUCUUUCUCGUACAAACGUAUCAAUGACAUGAUGAUGGAGGUAAGGUUUUAUAUUCCGUAAAACCAUCUGAUCAAAUCGUACGGUUUUGCAGAAUAUAAAAUCUUGCCUCCAUCAUGUUUAAUUACGGAUGUACGUAGGACCGUCAUAAGUUGUCCGGACCGUCAAGUAAAGAAACGAUCGUGCCUGCUAGAGACAAUAGACGCGAUGUUUAACGUCCGUUUCCUGUAUCGUCGAGUGAGACUUCGACUCAAUAUAAGUCUCGACAUAGUUCAUCCUGCAGUCCAACCACUGUAAAGCAGGUUGGAGAUGGUCUCACAACGACGAGUUGAGACCAAGUUGUUGACGUCCGUACGUCGUGAUACAACCGCUUUGUAUCGUCUUUGACUGACCACAACACGGUUUACUAGUUUCGUAACCGACCAAACGACUUUGUCUUAUAACGAGAGUACGAGACACAGGGCAUUUUUCUUUCUAACCAUUGUAGAGC
rnacentral:rRNA from 1 species